rnacentral:rRNA from 1 species
UAUUAUUUAAAAUGUAAUUAUAAAUACUUAAGUAGUAAUAGUUAUGUUCUUGAAACUUAAAAAAUUUGGCGGUAUUUUAGUCUAUCCAGAGGAACCUGUUUUGUAAUCGAUAAUCCACGAUGGACCUUACUUAAGUUUGUAAUCAGUUUAUAUACCGUCGUUAUCAGAAUAUUUUAUAAGAAUAAUAAUAUUCAAUAAUUUUUAUUAAAAUUUAUAUCAGAUCAAGGUGUAGCUUAUAUUUAAGUAAUAAUGGGUUACAAUAAAUGUAUUUAAACGGAUAAAAUUAUGAAAAAAUUUUUGAAGGUGGAUUUGGUAGUAAAAUUAUAAAGAUUAAUAAUUUGAUUUUAGCUCUAAAAUAUGUACACAUCGCCCGUCGCUCUUAUUAUUAAGGUAAGAUAAGUCGUAACAUAGUAGAUGUACUGGAAAGUGUAUCUAGAAUGA